UUACAUUCUGUAAAUACUUUGUUUUUUUGAGAUGUUGGGACUCCAGUGAGCAGUGAUCAUGCCUCUGCACUCCAGCCUGGGCGACAAAGGGAGACCCUGUCUCAAAAAUAAAUAAAUAAAAAUCACUGAAAACUAUACCGCAACAUAGAAGAAUGACACAACUGAAAACUAGGAUGCAAAAAAGCAUUUCUGAUGAGAAUGAUAUAAAAUUAAGUCUGUAAAUGGACCAAAUUGGAAGCACAGACACAGAGGUAUGCCCAGAGUGCUGUGGGAGCAAAGUGGAAGGAGUAAGGUGAUAUUUGAGCUACAUUCAGAAGGAAUUCUCCAAGCAGACAGCUUUAAGUCAACUGCCUGUAGGGUGGCAUCAACACACAUUUGCUCUACGAAUGACUACUGGAUACAUCUGUGCAUUCAUCCCUUCCCUGACACAGAGCCAGCCUGGGGCAGGUGGGCCUGAGGCUUACCUGCUGCUUCACAUUCCCAGCCUGCUGGUGGCCCACGUUUUCUUCUUCAUCAGCACUGACAGUUUCUUCUAGAGACCUUCAGGGAAGACCAUACAUAUGCCCUUUGAAAAAUGACCAGGGGCUGGGCACAGUGGCUCACUCCUGUAAUCCCAGCACUUUGGGAGGCUGAGGCAGGUGGAUCACCUGAGGUCAGGAGUUCGAGACAAGUCUGGCCAACAUGGUGGUGCAUAUCUAUAAUCCCAGCUACUUGGGAGGCUGAGGCAGGAUAAUCGUUUGAACCCGGGAGGCGGAGGUUGCAGUGAGCCAAGAUUGCUAGAAGAUGGAAUCACAUGACAAUGGAGGUAAGUUGCAGCUUCAACCUCCCUAGGCUCAGGUGAUCCUCCCACCUCAGCCUCCUGAGUAUCUGGGACCACAGGCACCCACCACCAUGCCCGGCUAAAUUUUUUUUUUUCCUUUUUUUUGUAGA